UACGAAGGGUGCAAACGUUGCUCGGAAUUAUUGGGCGUAAAGCGCACGUAGGCGGCAUAGCAAGUCGGAUGUGAAAUCCCUCGGCUCAACCAAGGAAGUGCAUCCGAAACUGCUGUGCUUGAGUACGAAAGAGGAUCGCGGAAUUCCCGGUGUAGAGGUGAAAUUCGUAGAUAUCGGGAGGAACACCAGUGGCGAAGGCGGCGAUUUGGGUCGAUACUGACGCUGAGGUGCGAAAGCGUGGGGAGCAAACAGG
rnacentral:rRNA from 1 species